rnacentral:rRNA from 1 species
GACGAACGCUGGCGGCGUGCCUAAUACAUGCAAGUCGAACGCAUUUUCUUUCACCGUAGCUUGCUACACCGAAAGAAAAUGAGUGGCGAACGGGUGAGUAACACGUGGGUAACCUGCCCAUCAGCGGGGGAUAACACUUGGAAACAGGUGCUAAUACCGCAUAAUUCCAUUUACUGCAUGGUAGAUGGAUGAAAGGCGCUUUUGCGUCACUGAUGGAUGGACCCGCGGUGCAUUAGCUAGUUGGUGGGGUAACGGCCUACCAAGGCUGCGAUGCAUAGCCGACCUGAGAGGGUGAUCGGCCACACUGGGACUGAGACACGGCCCAGACUCCUACGGGAGGCAGCAGUAGGGAAUCUUCGGCAAUGGACGCAAGUCUGACCGAGCAACGCCGCGUGAGCGAAGAAGGUUUUCGGAUCGUAAAACUCUGUUGUUAGAAAAGAACAAGGAUGAGAGUGGAAAGUUCAUCCCUUGACGGUAUCUAACCAGAAAGCCACGGCUAACUACGUG